GCCUGUAGUCCAGUGGGCAGGGGACAUGACUGGGACUCCUGAGGUUGGUGGUUCAAGCCCCAGUCCAGCCGCA